rnacentral:rRNA from 1 species
GAUGAACGCUGGCGGCGUGCCUAAUACAUGCAAGUCGAGCGAACGGACGAGAAGCUUGCUUCUCUGAUGUUAGCGGCGGACGGGUGAGUAACACGUGGAUAACCUACCUAUAAUACUGGGAUAACUUCGGGAAACCGGAGCUAAUACCGGAUAAUAUUUUGAACCGCAUGGUUCAAAAGUGAAAGACGGUCUUGCUGUCACUUAUCGAUGGAUCCGCGCUGCAUUAGCUAGUUGGUAAGGUAACGGCUUACCAAGGCAACGAUGCAUAGCCGACCUGAGAGGGUGAUCGGCCACACUGGAACUGAGACACGGUCCAGACUCCUACGGGAGGCAGCAGUAGGGAAUCUUCCGCAAUGGGCGAAAGCCUGACGGAGCAACGCCGCGUGAGUGAUGAAGGUCUUCGGAUCGUAAAACUCUGUUAUUAGGGAAGAACAUAUGUGUAAGUAACUGUGCACAUCUUGACGGUACCUAAUCAGAAAGCCACGGCUAACUACGUG